CAGGUUUGUCUGACUUUGCUAUUUUGUGUCCUUCAUGUUGCCCUUUAUAAUUGUUUUCUCAGGUUUGUACCUUCUGCUCCAUCUCCUCACCACAUCAGCCCCCGGAGAGUUCCGGCUCCUUCCUCAAUACUGCAGAGAACACAGCCUCCCCACACCCAGCAACCAUCAGGUUCACACCUGAAGUCCUAUCAGCCAGAGACGAACUCUUCUUUUCAACCAAAUGGUAUCCACGUCCAUGGAUUUUAUGGACAGCUGCAGACCUUCUGCCCCCCUCAUUACCCUGAAUCCCAGAGAACUGUGCCRCCUGGCAGCUCCUGCAGUGUGGUGCCUUCCUUUGAGGACUGCCUGGUCCCCACGUCCAUGGGCCAGGCUGGCUUUGACGUUUUCCACAGAGCCUUCUCGACUCACUCAGGCAUUGCAGUGUAUGAUUUGCCUUCAGCUUCCUCAAGCCUUUUUGGGGAGUCUCUUCGCAAUGGGCCUGAAGACAACACGUUCUUGCAGAUCAGUGCUGUGGACCGUUGUCCUAGCCAGCUCUCCUCUGUCUAUACUGAAGGCUAGAAGCAUCCCUGGUCUCUGCUGCACAUCCAGAACCUUUUGGUUGCUUGCCACCUUUUGUUCUCCUACUCUUACAGAGUGCACGAAGAAGGAUGUCAACCAAGUCAGUGGGACCUGUAGGGUCACUGUCUUUGGAAGGACUGGAUGGUUCAGAGCUGGCUUUACAGGAAUAUUUGCAGUUGCUCCUUUUUCUCUCUGGGUUUGCUGGACCAGGUGGCCAGCAGGACUGUCUUCUCAAAGGGAAUUUUGAGUCUCACUCUACUGGAUACCUGUUACUUCYUGGAUGUCAGCCCUCAAAGGACACCAGUGAAAUGAUGUGCAUAUGAAAAAGUAGUUUGGGGAUGACCCUUGCUGAAAACUCCAAAGAGGGAAGGACAGCCCAUUAGCAGGGGCAUAUCGAGCUGUCUCACCCAGUGUUCUCCCUCAUGGCUGCUGGGGCACAAGGAGGGAGAUCCAUUUCCAAAGCACAGUGUGGUCUUAACACAUGGCAACUCCCUGGGUUUCCCUCUUAGAUAUCCUCAUGCUAACYGGUUGCUUCUCAGUAUUUCUCCAAUGACAAAAUAAGUCUUUAUAUGUCAGCUUUCUACUUUGUUCUUGGAUUUUAAAGACUUGUUACUUACAUCUUCUUUAAAAAGAAAAAAUUUAAAGGUUUGUUCUUUGGAUAGAAAUCACUAUUAAUUCAAUCACCCAGUUACACUUAUUUUGCCACAGUGUGGCUCUGCCUGGCCCCACCCCUGGAAUAUUAGUUUUACAGUUAGCACAAGGCUACCUGAGGGAAACAGGGUAGGCGCUCUCUCGCUCUCUCUCUCUCUCUCUCCCUCUCUCUCUCUCUCUCUCUCUCUCACACACACACACACACACACACAUACACCUACUUGCUCCCAGUGCUGUAGCAGGAACCCUUCUGGGUUGACUGCUCAUUGACUUGAAAACAUUCAAUGGAAAAAGUCAUUUGAUUGGUCCCCCAUUGCCUGCACUCUGGUGUUCUGCCUGAGAUGUGCCAGAAAACAGGAGAACAGGAUGCAUUGCAUCACGGCCAGGGUCCUCUUGGAAAACCAAAUCAGGGAGGCCUGAUCUCCAUUUUAUUUGCAUAGCCUCUGCUCAGCUCCUUCAGGGAGUCCACUUCUGUCUCCUCUGUACUUGUUCCCUCUCUCUUUUUGAAGACAUGCCCACCACCUGCCUUGUCCUAUCAACUCUUGGAGAAGUAGAGGAAAUGGUUCACAAAAGGUGGGCUGAGAAGGGAACCCUUUUUUAGAACUCUAGUUUAAAGGCUUGGAAUUUUUCACAGUGCAAUUGACAGUUUUAUAUCAAGCCUAAAUAGGAAGUAAUUUUCAGUGACACCUUUACAAAGGUAUUUAAAAGAUACUGUGUCCUAGGGCAUAGGCUGUAAAAUUUGGCCAUACCCCAAAGAUUCAGUCCAUUACAACAUUAUGGUACAUUCACAUUUCAAGUUUCUUUUUCUCUCUUUAAAAAAAUUUUUUUCUGAACAAAAGUGAAAUAAUGCUAUUUAUCCAACUGAGAUAAUUGCAGGCUUCAAUAAGACAAUUAAAUAGCUCACUGUCAGACUUGGGAUCCUAUGACAGUUUGUAUCCUGAUAGACAUGUCCCUCCAUUCUGGUUCCAAAAUCAGAAAUGUUCUACCUGAUCCCAGUAUUCAUUUCAAUUCAUGGUGGAAUAAAGAACCAAGUGUGGAUUACA
rnacentral:lncRNA from 1 species